rnacentral:rRNA from 1 species
CAGCAGCCGCGGGAAUACGUAGGGUGCAAGCGUUGUCCGGAAUUAUUGGGCGUAAAGAGCUCGUAGGCGGUUUGUCGCGUCUGCUGUGAAAUCCCGAGGCUCAACCUCGGGCUUGCAGUGGGUACGGGCAGACUAGAGUGCGGUAGGGGAGAUUGGAAUUCCUGGUGUAGCGGUGGAAUGCGCAGAUAUCAGGAGGAACACCGAUGGCGAAGGCAGAUCUCUGGGCCGUAACUGACGCUGAGGAGCGAAAGCGUGGGGAGCGAACAGGAUUAGAUACCCCAGUAGUCCCUGUCUCUUAUAU